CACAUGUAUUCCCUGUGAAACUGUUUUAUUGCCUUCUUGCAGUCUCUCUCAAGUGGGAAAAAUGUUCUUUUUGAAAAGAUGGUAAACUAAUUUAAAAAUUAGCUGCUCACUUACACCAUCUCCUCCAGAAAGCCCUUCCUAAUCAUAGCAAUCAAAAUUAAUUUCCUUGUCCCUUGUGUUCUCAUAAUAUUUUAAUACUUUGAUGAUCUUGCUUACUCAUUUGCCUGUACUCUUGUUUAUGUACAUGCCAGUUUUGCACACCGGCUCAUAAGCACCUUUAAGAUGUGCAUCCUUUUCAUCAUUAAGUAUUUGGCAACAAGUCUGGCGUGAUGUUUUCUAGAAAGUACCAUGGGGCUUAGAAGACUUAAGUAGAAGCACACUGCCCGAAGUUGACCUCCAUGAAGUUUCUCUGCCUGGGAAGAUCUGUUUCAAAAUGCCACCCUCCACAACCAAAGAAAAUGCUGUGCUAUGGUGCUAUGGUAUUAUACCAUAUCUCAGCCACCUGAAAAUGACUGAAUUAACAACACAUGGAGUAAUGGCUUCAGAAAUGGUGUGGCCCAUUGGAAAAGAACACACAGUUUAGAGUUAUGUAUCUAGUUCUUAGAAUUAUGUGAUCUUGGGAAAGUCAUAUACCAUUUCUUUCUCAGGUCUCUUCAGAUUUCAUUGUAGGAAUUAGAGCUACAAGUUGUGUUUCAUUGCCUCUACAGUUAGCACUCUGGAAGCCUGGGGAGAAAGGAUUGCCAUGAAUUUAAAGCUAGCUUGACUCACAUAGUUUCAGGCCUGGUGGGUUCUGCAGUGAGACAGUUUCAAAAAAUUAAAUUUCCUAAAGAUGUAGGGGUUUAUUUUCUGUAGCCUUACAGUGUGAUAAUAAUGCAAUAAAUAUAAAAUGUCAUGAAAUGCCAUCUUUUCCCUAUUGUUAGUACUAGGUAGGGCAACUGGAAAUUGUAGAACAACAUUUGUGGUUUUGAGCCCUAGCAGACAAAUGACAAAGAGUGAUGACAAAACAAAAUGCCUAAUUUAUGGAAUUCAGGGUUACUAUAAGGGAGGGCCCUGUAUACACUGAUUGUGAUAGAACUCCUCAUAGGGUAAGUAGUUCAAAUGAAAUAUCCAGAAGGAAGAGUAUUAAAUUGAUGCUCAAGUUGGAGAAUAGGUGAAAAAUAGAGUAAAGCAAUCUUGUGGGGAAUUUCUUCAAAAACACAAACCUUAUCACCAGUAUCACUUAUUUAAUUGGCCUUUAUGUAGUUUUGUUUUCUAUAUGCUAAGAACCUCUCAGCAGUAGACUCUUUAAUCCUAUUAGUCUGAAAAUUGUUUCUUUUACGUGAUGUGAACAUUGCUGUCCAGAGGAUCUUAUUGUCCAUGGGUCUUCCGUUUGCUGGUAGAACUGGGAUUUGAAUUAGGAAGGUCUAGAAUUAACCCCUUAACCAAAAUGCUUUAACAUCACCCAUUGACACAGAAGUGCAUUCCUCUGUUUGAAUCUGCUACUAGACUCCCUUCUCUGAUGUCCUGACAUGUAGUUAUUCGGAUUUUUGACUAAUGGGAGAAUGGAAAAGGUCCUAAGUAUCUCUAGAACUACCAACCACAUUUAUUAAAGUUCGAAUGUAAACCCAAAUCUCCAUCCCUUGUAACAUUCACUCAUUGGUCCUGUGCCUGGUUUGCUGCCAUCCCUCAGAUUAUACAUUCUUCCACAUGAUAACUUUUAGAGUGUUAUAAAAAAAUUACCCGUGCUUUGGCAUUGAAUUCUGCAUUGCCUUUCCCAUUUGUUUGGGUAUGCAGAUAAAAAAGAAAGUGGAAUUUAAGAAUAAUUGGACUGCUUUGAGGCCCCUGGUCUCUACUACGUGUUCAAUUCUGAGCCCUCACUAGGACUCUUGCUGGACAUCACACUAACUCCCUGUGUUGCUGAGGCCCUGCAGUGUAGGGUCUGCAGGUCAGGUCCCUUCACAUGUUCUAGCAUAUCAUAAAUGAGGUGGAUUUGGGGCCAUGAACCAGACCAAUGACUGUUUGUGAUGAAUACUGGCAAGUAGAGAUGUACAUACAAAGGAGUAUAUGGGGUGACUUGUUGGGUCACACUGAUGCUUCCAUGGCAACGUUUAUAGUUCCUUCCCCUUUGUUAUUUUUCUCAUUUUAUUUUCAUUUUUUCUCUUGAAUAUUGUUUUAUUUUGGGGGUACAGAGGUGGAGGGCAGAUGCAAAGGGACGGGGAAUGAAUGGAAUCAAGAUACAUGAUGUGAAAAACACUUAGAAUCAAUAAAUUUAUUUUAAAAAGAAUAGUUAGAAGGCAGACCUGGGACAUGGUUUGGAGUUUAAGUGUACUGGAUGUUCUUCCAGGGAUCCCAGGUUCACUUUCCAGUACCUAUAUGGUGUCUCACAACUCUGUAACUUCCAGGGGAUCUGAAAAUACGAAACCCUUUUCUGGCCUCCAUGAUCCGCACAUGAUAUGAUUCACGGACUCAGAAAUGCAGGCAAAAUGUUCAUACAAAAAAAGGUAAAAAAUAAAAAGGGAUAAUUAGAGUAUCCCAUUAUUUCAUUGAAUACUUAUUAUGUGCAAAAUGUAGCAGAUGCUACAAUUUGGAGAGAGUGUGAAUAGCACCAGAUUCAUAUAUAUUCAUAUCUAUAAUCAUGCAUGUGCUCUGCUUUUUUAUUGUUAGCUAGGAUGCUGCAGUUAUCUUUAAGAUACAAAUUGAUGGGUAGAUCUGUUGCCUGUACUUACUUAAGUCACGUUUUAAAUAAACACCAGCUUGCUAGGUGCAGCACAGGAUUGCAAAUCCAUGUGCAGAGACUGCUAAUGACCCUUGUAUUUCUCACAGUGCCUAGCCCUAGUCCUUUUACAACCUAAAGAGCGAUGGAAAUUUUUGAAUGAAUGAAUGAUUGAGCAAGUGGAUAAGUGAUUGAAAGACUACAGCAUAAUAUUCGUUAAUGGUGUGCUUCAUGUCAUUGUUCAUGUGAUACCCCCAUGAAUUCAAUUCAAUAAGAAAGACUGUUCUAUUCUGUGUGCAAAAUUUCUUUAAAGUUUUGUUUGCCAGGUUAAAAAAUAGAGAACUAGUGAUUUCCCCAGAAAUAUCUGAAUGAAGUAUUUGAAAGACAGCAAGGUAAUACAUCAGCCAGAAGUAUAUGUCUUUAUAGUAUUGAUCAGUCCCCAACUCUAUUUAAAAGACUUGCUGUUAUCAUCUGAGAAACUGUCUGCCACCACAUGAGCCCAGUAGAGGCAUUUUUUAGGUUAUCACCAUGGGGUGCUCCUAUGGUGCCAAUUAUUCUGACUGACAUUGUUAUCCUAGUUGAAAAUGCAGUAAAACUACUGAAUCUGUACCCUAACCAUUCAAGUGGCUUUUGUAUGAAGCAUCACAAAGUCACACAGGCAAGUUCAGAGCAGAUUUUAACCCUGAAAUGUUAUCAUUUCGUAGACAUUGCUUUGUAUGCGUGAGAUAUUUCUGUGUGUAUGUAUCUAUAUCUAUAUCUAGAUAUUUACAUAACAUUUUAUGUCUGAAAUACUUAUGUAUUUUCAUUGUGUAUGAAUAACUGAUAAAAUAUCCUGCCUAUGUUCAAAAACUUCCUCUGUCUAUUUGUGAAUAGAUGGUUAUUCUUUCUACUCUCUCAUUUGGUAAAAUCUUAGCAUCAUGCAUUUAUUAAUUUCCUGAUAAUUAGCACUGAUAGGAAAUAUUUAUAUUUCAUAAGUUUUAAGUUGUUUAAAAAUAAAUUGGUAUUGUAUUAGGCAAGAACUUGAUUGAAGUGAUUUCACAAUACAACCUAAGAUAUAAUGGGAUGGGAGAGGUUCCUUCAUUAUGUAGGAGAUUCUGACAGUACUAGGCUAUAAUUAAUUAACAUUCUAUUAAUGAUCUGUAAGGAGUAUCAGUAAACAACACUUUAAUUAAGUUCAUGGGUAAUAAAUUAAUGGGUGUAGAAAAUAUCACUGAAGACAGGAAAAUAAUUCAAAGAGACCAGAAAUAAUACAAAAUGAUACUGUAACGUGAACUGACUUACUUGUCAUCCCCUACUCCACCAACAUAUGUUCCUUGCAUUUGUAGGUUUAUGGAAAAGAAGGAAAUAACUAUCUUGUCAAUCAUUGUAUAGUUUCAUGAUAGAAUGGCUUUUUUAUGAGUUGGGUUCUGAAUAUAUUUCUUCAUAUAGUAUUUCAGAUUUGUGCAACUUAGGAAGAAAAUGACUAAUUAUGUCAUCCAAAUGACAGAUUUAUGAAGAAUGUAACUUAUAUUGAAUACAAGCUAGUAGCCAUUCCUAGUAAAUGCAUUCUCUGAUUUCCUAUGCUCAGAAGCAUUUACCACAAUUCCCAAGGUCUAAUAUCUAUUUAAUGGUAGAGCUGUAUUUGAGCCCUGGUACUUCUAAGACAUGUCCAAUAAUAGUAUAAUAGAUGGUAUAUUUCUGCAUAUGUGAUAUAGGUUUGGAGGCAUUUAUUAUGGACUAAUUGGUCUAUUGCUCUGAGAAACAAGUACGUAAAUUACAGUCUUUGAUUGUAUGGGAUCAUUUCAUUGAGUUAAUAUUCGUGUUCGGGUAGUGUGUGUGUGUGUUAUAAUUUUUAAUUUUCCAGGAAAAAAUGCUGCCAUUAAAGAAUCGCUUGGUGUAUUCUGACCUCACAAAAACCUAGAUGGGCAAUCGUUUGAAAAUCCAUUUGUUCCUCUAGUUCUGAUUCUGCAUCUGUAAAAGUGAAGUUGAACUGGAGAGUGCUCCGAGUUCUGUGUAGCUCUGUUCUCUUCUCAGGGCUUCUAAAUACUGUUUCCAUUUCAAUGUCAAUGCUAUAUGAAACUUGCACGAAAGACAAUAAAAAUUGGCAAAUAGAAUUAAUAUCAUUAGAAGAAACGAGUUUAUGGUAUACCUUGCAUUAGGUUGGUUUGCUCUUUUUUUUCAAUAGACUUGCAAACAUCGUAUUAAUAACUAAAGUCUGUAGUUUACAUUACAGUGCACUUCUUGUCUUGUACAUUCAAUAGAUUGCUGUUGUGGUCCCUGCAGUCCUUAGCAGCUGUGACCUUUUAUUUUAUUUGGAGGUGCUUUCCGAGUUUGAUGAGCAAACCCAGAAUCCUGGACAUGCUAGAUAUAUUCUUUACAACUCAGCCCCACUACUGAUCAUUUUACUGUGCCCAUAGAUUUGCCUUUUACAGAAGGCCAUAUAGUUGAAAUCAUACAGUAUGGAACUUUCUCCAAUUCAUUUCUCCUCAUUUUCUCUCUGUUUGCUGUGAUGAUGAUGAAAUACAGAUCAAAACCAACUUGGAGAAGAAAGGGUUUAUUUCAGAUUGCAUUCCAUCAGUUAAGGGAAGCCAAAACAGGAGCUUGAAGUAGAAACCACAAGGGAUGCUGCUUACUGCCUUGCCUCCUACCCUCUGCUUCCCUAGCUUUUUUAUACUAC